rnacentral:lncRNA from 1 species
AUCGUUUACGCCUCCUGUCAACCUUUACCAUGUUUCAUUUAAAGUGAACGAAGCUGUUCUGCCGUUACGUCUGACAGAAUUAUAUUUUGUGAACUAUCCCUUUAAAAAAACACACAUUUUAAUCACGCUUGUUAUGUUGGUGCCAAGCACUGCCCCUUUUGUAGUAGGUAGCGAUAUGGCCACUGGAGGGCGCAGCUGAGACGCGCGUUCAACAGGAAAUGUCCUCGCAAAACAAAGCUGGGUAAUGAUCGGCACGCACAGCAGUGUUGGAUACAGAAUCAGAUUCAGUGCAAGCCCUCUGCUACAGCACAUUUACAGCGAGCUGGUAGCGCGCGCUACCCGCGCUUCUUCCUACUAUGUUUUCCAAAAACUCUCAAACCGGAUACAGUGUUGCCCGAUAUUUCUUGCUUUGGUCGCUUAUGCCCCUCAUCACUGCAAAGGGAAAUGACAUGGAGAGUCCAAGAAAGAUCCAUAACGCUGACAAACCACCCUCUGAGACUCAACUCGGUGAGUAUCCAAGCAGCUUCUGUUUUUCUUUCACAUCCUGCGAAAGUCAACAGGAUUGUGAGGAGCUUUUGAAAGGCACCAAAAUCCCACUGAAAUAA